rnacentral:rRNA from 1 species
UGGGGGAUAUUGCACAAUGGGCGCAAGCCUGAUGCAGCGACGCCGCGUGGGGGAUUAAGGCCUUCGGGUUGUAAACUUCUUUUGCUCUGAACAAGGCGCACUUUGGGGUGUGUUGAGUGUAGGGGUUGAUUAGCGCCGGCUAACUACGUGCCAGCAGCCGCGGUAAUACGUAGGGCGCGAGCGUUGUCCGGCAUUAUUGGGCGUAAAGGUCUUGUAGGUGGCUGGUUGCGUCUGUCUUGAAAGCUCAUGGCUUAACUGUGGGUUUGCGGUGGGUCAGGGCUGGCUUGAGUGUCGUAGGGGAGGCUGGAAUUCCGGGUGUAGCGGUGGAAUGCGCAGAUAGCAGGAGGAAUAACGGUGGAGAAGGCGGGUCUCUGGGAUGUUACUGACACUGAGGAGCGAAAGCAUGGGGAGCGAACAGG